CUUCCUUCUGAGCAUUGUUAUAUUUAUUCAAUUUUUUACUUCUUAUCUCAUUCCAUUUACCCAAAAUAUAGCUCUAUCCAUGUGAGCCCAAAACAUACUUGUUUUUCACUAUGUUUUACUCUUCAUGUUAUCAAUUGAACUAUAAAUAGAAACACAGAUAUAAUAGGGUUGCAUAGUCUUAUCACUCACUUCCUUCCGAAAUGAAAUAACGAUUUGAUGAAGGGUAAAAUAUUACCCCCAUGAUUCUAACAAGAAGUGAUACACUGUGGGAAUUCUGCCAAUGGGCUGACACUCACCUCUGAAUCCAUUGAGCCUGUCCAGCAGUCCAGUGAUGGGCCCUGCACUGAGCUCUGGAUUCGCAGGCUGGGGCACUUGCAGCAGCAGGGACUCAUACCUGCAAGGAGAAAGAUGCAGUUACCACAUCUACAGCCAAAAAGUACAUAAAAAUCAACUACUUUUCUUUAAAAGACAUUUCAUGAGACUCCCUUUAACCCACAAUUUGCUAAUUCCAAAAUUAUCAUUUUCUGUUUCAGAUUCAUUCUUAUUCACAGUUCCUGAUUUUCAAGCAUAACUUUCAUUGGACUGCCUAAUAAAAUCACUGAGUAUAGCAACAAAAGAGAAGACAACAUAGGGUGGGGGAUGGAGAAAGUACAACCAGCACAAUGUAAUAUCAAUAUCUGAAUCAAUUAUGCCUUCAGUGUCAAAGUUCCUGCUUGGUAUUUGUGGAAACUGAUAGAGCAUCUGCUAAAAUCUUGGUAUGCACUCACCUGUGUAAUAUGUCUUCAAAAGCCUGUAAGAUAAAAAAGAAAAAGAAAGGCUUAGUGCUUUCCACAUGAUGCAAUUUCCACUAAGUUCACUGUGAGAUUUGGAGGCAGUUUCUGAGAUGGUAUUUUCCUACAGUUUUCCCUCCUGGAAAGCAUUUUUUGUUUCUUUUCUCAUGAAAAUUCCAGUCUGUCAUAUGUCAUGAAUUAAUGUUCUGAUAAAGUCUCAGUCUUGAAGACAUUCUCUUUCCAAGUGAAGGAAGAGGAGGCCCACAGAGUCUGUGCUCUGCUGUAACCAUAAAGAAGCUACUCAGUCAUCUUCCCUAAGCCCUGUUACCAAAAUGAGUGGAUCUCAAAAUAAUAUUAAUGUGAUCCUAGAUUCCCCAACUUCUCCAUCAUGCCGUGUCU
rnacentral:lncRNA from 1 species